rnacentral:tRNA from 1 species
GGGGCGUUAGCUCAGUGGUAGAGCAUCUGCCUUUUAAGCAGAGGGCCGUUGGUUCAAUUCCAACACGCCUCA